rnacentral:SRP_RNA from 1 species
GCCGGGUGUGGUGGCGGGCACCUGUAAUCCCAGCUACUCAGGAGGCUGAGGCAAAAGAAUCGCUUGAGCCCAGGAGACAGAGGUUGCAGUGAGCCGAGAUUGUGCCAUUGCACUCCAGCCUGGGCCACAGAGCAAGACUCUGUCUCAA